AGUUAAAACCAGAUCCACAGCUCUUCAAACUUUUGAGAUUUCAACAACAACACGGCAAACAAAGUCCGUUGGAAGAAAUGUCCAGUAAUGAAAACAGAACAGGGUCUGGUGGCCUAAGAAGAAAAUCAAGCAGACGGAAGUUGGAGCCUCAGAGAGCUGGAGACUAUGGACAACACCAUCAGCUGGCAAAAAGACAGUAGAGGAACCCAGAUAUCUAAAUUCCGGGCUGUUCUAUAUGUAUUCCUCCAGUGUCAGGGUCCUGUUGUCUACACAGAGCAUGUGGUUGCCUGAGAAGAGAAGGGAGUGUAGACUUGGAGGCUUACUCGGAGAGGAGGCUCCGGGUGUGUUUGGUGGAUAAAUGAUCCCUUCAAGGUAGAAAAGAAAUGGUGUGUUUCAUUACAAAAUCUGUGCCCCACCCCACCCCACCCCCAGCACUCUAGUUGUUUAUCUAUUCACCCAGCCACGUCCUCCAUUAACAUCCAUUACGCAUCUACUACGUGUCAGUGGAGGGCC
rnacentral:lncRNA from 1 species